ACCGUUUUGGAGACAAGAACCGUCUGACGUUGGCGGGACUGCAGCUGAGACUACAGGGCUACUCUAACACAUUGGAGGGUGGACAGAGAGGGAGUGUUGUGGAGUACGCGUGGCUGACGGAGCUGAAGUUUCUGCCGCUGAGGGGCAAUGGGUCAGUGGGACAACUGAUGUCCCUGCUGGACGCCAUCCACUCCCAGGUGUCUCUGCUGGCCAUGGAUCCCACCAGCCUACUACACACUGCACUGUUUGACUGCGGAAGGCACUGUGUGCAUCUGCAGAAAAAAGACAGCUGUCUAUUCAACUCCACCUUGGCUGUCGGUGGCGAAGAGAACGGUGCCGGUGCGCCAGCCGGAGG